rnacentral:rRNA from 1 species
GAACCGUUAUAACCGGCGAUACCCGAAUGGGGAAACCCAGUGUGAUUCGUCACACUAUCAUUAACUGAAUCCAUAGGUUAAUGAGGCGAACCGGGGGAACUGAAACAUCUAAGUACCCCGAGGAAAAGAAAUCAACCGAGAUUCCCCCAGUAGCGGCGAGCGAACGGGGAGGAGCCCAGAGCCUGAAUCAGCAUGUGUGUUAGUGGAAGCGUCUGGAAAGGCGCGCGAUACAGGGUGACAGCCCCGUACACAAAAGCGCAUGUGCUGUGAGCUCGAUGAGUAGGGCGGGACACGUGGUAUCCUGUCUGAAUAUGGGGGGACCAUCCUCCAAGGCUAAAUACUCCUGACUGACCGAUAGUGAACCAGUACCGUGAGGGAAAGGCGAAAAGAACCCCGGCGAGGGGAGUGAAAAAGAACCUGAAACCGUGUACGUACAAGCAGUGGGAGCACCCUUCGGGGUGUGACUGCGUACCUUUUGUAUAAUGGGUCAGCGACUUAUAU